UGUCAGAAGUGGGAUUCGAACCCACGUCCACAAGAGUGGACUACGACCUGAAGGCAGAGCCUUAGAAUUCUCGGCAAUCCUGAC